AAGAAGAACGUAAUGACGCCAGCUGGUACCAAUUUCAAAAUGACAAAUAUUGACGACAUAAAGGCUGAAAGAGGACAGUUUGGAUGUUCAUCGUGUUAAUGUCUGCGAGCCAAAUAAGCAUUCAUCUUCCUUUACUGGAGCGGCGAGGGCCACUUUGCUCAUCUGACGUCAUAUGUCCACAGCCAGGUCGCAGGAGAGCUGGUGACGUCAUUUGGUCAGGAUGAAGGAUCUUUUGGGGGUAAAAGGGCCAAAGAAGAACCUCCUGCUCUCCAGCUGCUCACCAGCCAGGCCACUGGAACGCUGAUUUGGCCCCGCGGAGCCCCUACAACUGAAGAGCAGCCAGAUAACUUUAUCUCCUGACCAACCGGCGCCCGCAUCCCCAAGGUAGGCCUUUCGAACGCGCUUUUAUUCCGCGCCAACCAAUAGGAGCGUCGACGCCAUCCGCCGCCCUAAUGGAAGCAACCUGUGCUUUGUGGAGUGCGUUGAGGUAACGCACAGCUGCUCUGCUCGCUUUAAAGGGGAACCGCACUUUUUUUGGAAUGUUGAGUUUGAGUUUAUUUCGAACUUGCGUGCAU